rnacentral:rRNA from 1 species
GCGAAAGAGGGGGAGGGGUCCGGGUUAGGAGGUGGGGUGGGUGGGUGGUGCGGAAUUUGUGGGCGGAGAGGGGUCGGAGGAGGUCUGUAGCGGCGGGAGGGAAAACUCAGGGCGUAACCCGGAGCCUGCUUCCGGUACGGGCAGACUAGAGGUAUGCAGGGGAGAAUGGAAUUCCUGGUGGAGCGGUGAAAUGCGCAGAUAUCAGGAGGAACACCGGUGGCGAAGGCGGUUCUCUGGGCAUUACCUGACGCUGAGGAGCGAAAGUGUGGGGAGCGAACAGGAUUAGAUACCCGGGUAGUC